rnacentral:rRNA from 1 species
AGCAGCCGCGGUAAUUCCAGCUCCAAUAGCGUAUAUUAAAGUUGUUGCAGUUAAAAAGCUCGUAGUUGAAUUUCGGGGUCAGUAGGUUGGUCGUGCCACCGGUACGUACUGGUCUCACUGAUUCCUCCUUCCUGAAGAACCGUAAUGCCAUUAAUUUGGUGUUGCGGGGAAACAGGACUGUUACUUUGAAAAAAUUAGAGUGUUUAAAGCAGGCUAACGCUUGAAUACAUUAGCAUGGAAUAAUGAAAUAGGACGAUCGAUCCUAUUUUGUUGGUUUCUAGGAUUGACGUAAUGAUUAAUAGGGAUAGUUGGGGGCAUUAGUAUUCAAUUGUCAGAGGUGAAAUUCUUGGAUUUAUUGAAGACUAACUACUGCGAAAGCAUUUGCCAAGGAUGUUUUCAUUAAUCAAGAACGAAAGUUAGGGGAUCGAAGACGAUCAGAUACCGUCGUAGUCUUAACCAUAAACUAUGCCGACUAGGGAUCGGAUGAUGUUAAUUUUAUAAUGACUCAUUCGGAGCCUUA